rnacentral:rRNA from 1 species
AAGGAAGCACACUUCGGUCAUAGAUUAAGCCAUGCAAGUGUUAGUUCAGGUAACGAAACUGCGAAUAGCUCAUUAAUACGCUCAGAAUCUAAUCUAGGACAAUCUUUUAUGGUUUUAAAUGGAUAGCAGAGGUAACUCCUGUGCUAAUACAUGCGAUUGUUUCUCCAGAAGUGAAAUACGGAGGAAAAGUUGACCUCAAACGAGGCGCCUAGUUCGAUUGAGUGACCUAUCAGCUUGUACUUAGGAUCUUUACCUAGGUAGGCUAUCACGGGUAACGGGCGGUUACCGUCGUACUGCCGGAGAAGGCGCCUGAGAGAUAGCGACCAUAUCUACGGGUAGCAGCAGGCGCGAAACUUUCCCACUCGAGACAUUCGGAGGAGGUAAUGACCAGUUUCAUUUGGACUUAUAAAUCCGGUGAAUAGGAUGACGUUUUGAUAGCGUCGUGAAAUCUAGCAGAGGGCCAGUCUGGUGCCAGCAGCUGCGGUAAUUCCAGCUCUGCGAGUUUGCUCCCAUAUUGUUGCAGUUAAAACGCCCGUAGUCUGAACUGACUCCGCAAGGAGUCGUAUGUCCAUUCGUUCACUGCGAAUAAAUCAGAACGCUUAGAGUAUGGUAUCUAGGAAUGACUCAGCGCAGUAUGAUAUCUUUAUUUUUUUCGGAAAAUAAGAUCCGUGAGAAUCAUCGGGGGUAGAUCUAUUUCAUGGCGAGUGGUGAAAUACUUUGACCCAUGAGAGAGAACCAGAGGCGAAGGCUUCUACCUAGAGGGUUUCUACCGAUCAAGGGCGAGAGUAGGAGUAUCCAACCGGAUUAGAGACCCGGGUAGUUCCUACUAUAAACGAUGCCGACAAGGAAUUGUUAUUUCAAAAUAGCAGUUUCGCAGGAGAAAUCAUAGUUCUUGGGCUCUGGGGGAACUACGACCGCAAGGCUGAAACUUGAAGGAAUUGACGGAAGGGCACACCAGGGGUGGAGCCUGUGGCUUAAUUUGAAUCAACACGGGGAAACUUACCAGGACCAGAUGUUUUUUAAGACUGACAUAUUAAAGAUAUUUCAGGAUAUUGCUUUUGGUGGUGCAUGGCCGUUGGUGGUGCGUGGGUUGACCUGUCUAGCGUUGAUUCAGCUAACGAGCGAGAUUAUCACUAAUUACUUACUUACCUAUUUAUAAUAGCGUAAGUUCUAAUUAGGACUCCCUGCGAUUUUAGCAGGCGGAAGAGGGUGGCAAUAACAGGUCCGUGAUGUCCUUUAGAUGCUCUGGGCUGCACGCGUGCUACAAUGUUAGGAUCAAUAAGAAGCUAACCCGACAGGGCACGCUACUCUUAUAAUCCCUAACGUAGUUGGGAUUGAUGUUUGUAAUCAAUAUCAUGAACCAGGAAUCCCUUGUAAAUGUGUGUCAACAGCGCACGUUGAAUACG